UACGUAGGGGGCGAGCGUUGUCCGGAAUUAUUGGGCGUAAAGAGCGUGUAGGCGGCUGGGUAGGUCCGUUGUGAAAACUCGAGGCUCAACCUCGAGACGCCGAUGGAAACCCCCCAGCUAGAGUCCGGAAGAGGAGAGUGGAAUUCCUGGUGUAGCGGUGAAAUGCGCAGAUAUCAGGAAGAACACCCGUGGCUAAGGCGGCUCUCUAGUACGGUACUGACGCUGAGACGCGAAAGCGUGGGGAGCGAACAGG
rnacentral:rRNA from 1 species